rnacentral:rRNA from 1 species
UACAGAGGUUCCAAGCGUUGUUCGGAUUCAUUGGGCGUAAAGGGUGCGUAGGUGGCGAUGUAAGUCUGGUGUGAAAUCUCGGGGCUCAACCCCGAAAUGGCAUUGGAUACUGCGCCGCUCGAGGACUGUAGAGGAGAGUGGAAUUCACGGUGUAGCAGUGAAAUGCGUAGAUAUCGUGAGGAAGACCAGUUGCGAAGGCGACUCUCUGGGCAGUUCCUGACACUGAGGCACGAAGGCCAGGGGAGCAAACGGG